rnacentral:rRNA from 1 species
GAUGAACGCUGACAGAAUGCUUAACACAUGCAAGUCAACUGUGGCGGACGGGUGAGUAACGCGUAAAGAACUUGCCACACGGAUAGGGACAACAUUUGGAAACGAAUGCUAAUACCUGAUACUGUGAGAGAGCUUUGCGUCCCAUUAGCUAGUUGGAGAGGUACGGCUCACCAAGGCGAUGAUGGGUAGCCGGCCUGAGAGGGUGAUCGGCCACAGGGGGACUGAGACGCGACCCUUACGCCUGCGGGAGGCAGCAGUGGAUAAUAGUGGACAAUGGGCCAAAGUCUGAUCCUGCAAUUCUGUGUGCAGUAUAUGGUUUUCGGAAUGUAAAGUGCUUUCAGUUGGGAAGCGGUACCAACAGAAGAAGUGACGGCGAAAUACGUGCCAGCAGCCGCGGUAAUAC